GGCCGCGUGGCGCAACUGAAUAGCGCAUCAGAUUUCGGCUCUGAGGGUUGGGGGUUUGAAUCCCUUCGCGGUCA
rfam:Arenibacter nanhaiticus strain CGMCC 1.8863 genome assembly, contig: Ga0066783_114